GAUGUGAGAAGCUGUGAGCCCCUCUCACAUAGUUAAGGGGCACUCUACCUCAAAGGCGAGAAAUGAGGCAGCUUCAAGAACCCAAGCUUUCCUGAAGUUACAUUUAGUGCUGUUUGCUAUUGGCUUUGCUGCUGACUCUGGAAACAAUUGUUAUUGGUGUUUGUUCUUCUCUAAGGGAGAGGCCAUAAUUAAAUAGCUAUAUUUGUGGCUAUAGUGUUCCAUGACCCUGAACCAUACAACGUAUUUGUCCAUGGAAGAUAGAAAAAUGGAGUUGAAUAUGCUUCCUUCUGAUAUGCUCUAUAAAGCAUAUUGUCUUGUACAUAUAAAUGUGGGACACAUUCAGGAGACUCAACUGGUUGAAUACAGAAGCUAAGAGAAGAGAGACUCAAAGAUGACCAAGGAUUUGUCCCCAGGUAGCAAUGCAUGUAUGUCAUCUGAUUUUGUGGAAUAUUUUUCCAUGCCCUUCCAUAGUUACUUUGUGAAGG